UACGGAGGGUGCAAGCGUUGUCCGGAAUCACUGGGCGUAAAGGGCGCGUAGGCGGUUCAUACAGUCAGAUGUGAAAUUCCUGGGCUCAACCUGGGGGCUGCAUUUGAUACGUGUGGACUAGAGUGGGGAAGAGGGUCGUGGAAUUCCCAGUGUAGAGGUGAAAUUCGUAGAUAUUGGGAAGAACACCGGUGGCGAAGGCGGCGACCUGGUCCUUGACUGACGCUGAGGCGCGAAAGCGUGGGGAGCAAACAGG
rnacentral:rRNA from 1 species